UAUGAAAGCAUUUACUUUUCCUGCCAUUUAUUUCUUUAGCUUGAAAUAAUAAUGUAUAUUUCUUAUUUAAUAAGGUGUAAUCCUUCUGGAGCCACAAGAACUUUAAGCCAAGUCAAAAUGAAACACAAAAACAUUCUGCAAAAAGCUAACAGAAAGAAGACUGAAGCCCGUCUAACUGGCGGGGGGCCACCACCACCUCCCCUCACCCCAUCUGAGGAGCUGGCUCUGUCCCUUAAUAAAGGGCGACCAGUGGUUGCUGGCAUUCCAGGGGGCAGUUCAUCACACAUACUAUGCACCACAAGUGAUGGUGAAAAAAGGGUGAAAUAUACUGAUGGACGGAUUGUAUUAUUGGACUCUCCAGAAAGAACACAGUCUGUCACAGUUGAUGAAGAUGAUGAUGACGAUGAAGAGACCACAUCUGCUGUGACAGAAGUGGACAAUGCUGGUAGAUCCACUGAGUACAUACCUAGGGAUUUGCCCACAGAUGAGGGUCCUUCAGCCUCAGCACACAAUCUAAGCAGGUUGCCAGCAAAGGAGCUGUAUAAGGUCCAUCUUCAAAAACAAAUAAGAAAAAGUGACAUGGUGAUGGACCUUAUACAGCUUCAAAUGGAAGAGAAAAGGCUCCUCAUUAAAAAAGCAGCACUUGAAAUAGAAUUACUUGAGAAUCGCCUUAAGGAAAUGAAGAAAUAAACUGCCUGGCAGACCAGUGCAAAAAAAGCUAAUAAAAGUAAUUUUGACAAAUCCUGUC
ensembl:lncRNA